rnacentral:rRNA from 1 species
UGUCGAUGAAGAGCGCAGCCAACUGUGUGAAUUAAUGUGAACUGCAGACUGCCUUGAGCAUCGAUUACUUGAACGCAUAUUGCGACAGCAGGCCAUGCCUGUUGCCUCGUCUGACCGAGAGUCG